CCUACGGGAGGCAGCAGUGAGGAAUUUUGCGCAAUGGGCGAAAGCCUGACCCAGCAACGCCGCGUGCGCGAAGAAGGCCUUCGGGUUGUAAAGCGCUUUUCUGAGGGAUGAGGAAGGACAGUACCUGAGGAAUAAGUCUCGGCUAACUACGUGCCAGCAGCCGCGGUAAGACGUAGGAGACGAGCGUUAUCCGGAUUUACUGGGCGUAAAGCGCGUGCAGGCGGCUCGUUAAGUUGGAUGUGAAAGCCCCCGGAUAAACUGGGGGAGGUCGUUCAAGACUGGCGGGCUAGAGUGCAGCAGAGGAGAGUGAAAUUCCGAGUGUAGCGGUAAAAUGCACAGAUAUUCGGAAGAACACCAGAGGCGAAGGCGGCUCUCGGGGCUGCAACUGACGCUCAGACGCGAAAGCUAGGGGAGCGAACGGGAUUAGAUCCCCCUGUAGU
rnacentral:rRNA from 1 species